UACAGAGGGGGCAAGCGUUAUUCGGAAUUAUUGGGCGUAAAGGGCGCGUAGGCGGCCUGGCAAGUGGAAGGUGAAAUCCCUCGGCUUAACCGAGGAACUGCCCUCCAAACUGCUUGGCUUGAGUCCGGGAGAGGCGAGUGGAAUUCCCGGUGUAGCGGUGAAAUGCGCAGAUAUCGGGAGGAAUACCAAUGGCGAAGGCAGCUCGCUGGGACGUGACUGACGCUGAGACGCGAAAGCGUGGGGAGCAAACAGG
rnacentral:rRNA from 1 species